rnacentral:rRNA from 1 species
CCCCNGUAACGGCGAGUGAAGCGGCANNNGCUCAAAUUUNNAAUCUGGCCCCUAGGGUCCGAGUUGUAAUUUGUAGAGGAUGCUUUUGGUGAGGUGCCGCCCGAGUUCCCUGGAACGGGACGCCGCAGAGGGUGAGAGCCCCGUCUGGCUGGCCACCGAGCCUCUGUAAAGCUCCUUCAACGAGUCGAGUAGUUUGGGAAUGCUGCUCAAAAUGGGAGGUAUAUGUCUUCUAAAGCUAAAUAUUGGCCAGAGACCGAUAGCGCACAAGUAGAGUGAUCGAAAGAUGAAAAGCACCUUGAAAAGAGGGUUAAACAGUACGUGAAAUUGUUGAAAGGGAAGCGCUUGUGACCAGACUUGGGCGCGGCGGAUCAUCCGGGGUUCUCCCCGGUGCACUUCGCCGCGUUCAGGCCAGCAUCAGUUCGGCGCGGGGGAAAAAGGCUUCGGGAACGUGGCUCCUCCGGGAGUGUUAUAGCCCGUUGCAUAAUACCCUGUGCUGGACUGAGGACCGCGCAUCUGCAAGGAUGCUGGCGUAAUGGUCACCAGCGACCCGUCUUGAAACACGGACCAAGGAGUCGUCUUCGUAUGCGAGUGUUCGGGUGUCAAACCCCUACGCGUAAUGAAAGUGAACGCAGGUGAGAGCUUCGGCGCAUCAUCGACCGAUCCUGAUGUUCUCGGAUGGAUUUGAGUAAGAGCAUACGGGGCCGGACCCGAAAGAAGGUGAACUAUGCCUGUAUAGGGUGAAGCCAGAGGAAACUCUGGUGGAGGCUCGCAGCGGUUCUGACGUGCAAAUCGAUCGUCAAAUAUGGGCAUGGGGGCGAAAGACUAAUCGAACCUUCUAGUA